rnacentral:rRNA from 1 species
UACGGGGGGGGCAAGCGUUGUUCGGAAUUACUGGGCGUAAAGGGCUCGUAGGCGGCCAACUAAGUCAGACGUGAAAUCCCCCGGCUUAACCAGGGAACUGCGUCUGAUACUGGAUGGCUUGAGUUUGGGAGAGGGAUGCGGAAUUCCAGGUGUAGCGGUGAAAUGCGCAGAUAUCAGGAGGAACACCGGUGGCGAAGGCGGGUCUCUGGGCCGUAACUGACGCUGAGGAGCGAAAGCGUGGGGAGCGAACAGG